UAAGUUGGCUUAGUGGCUGGAGCUUAGGUCUCGUAAUCUAAAGGUCGCGGGAUCGAGUCCCGCUAGAGGCUGAA
rnacentral:tRNA from 1 species